GGGGAUGUAGUUCAGGGGCAGAACAUUUGCCUAGCGUGCAUGAGGUCCUGGGUUCAAUCCCCAGUACUGCAA
rnacentral:tRNA from 1 species